AUCCUUCAGGUUCUGCUAAAUGAUGAAUGGGGAGCGCACACGGCUGUGUGACAUGUGCCGCCCUCUGCUGUUACGACGGGGCACAGCACCCUUCUGAUC
ensembl:snoRNA small nucleolar RNA U13